rnacentral:rRNA from 1 species
UACAGAGGGGGCAAGCGUUGUUCGGAAUUACUGGGCGUAAAGGGCGCGUAGGCGGCCUGCUAAGUCGAACGUGAAAUCCCUGGGCUCAACCCAGGAACUGCGUCCGAUACUGGUUGGCUUGAAUUCGGGAGAGGGAUGUGGAAUUCCAGGUGUAGCGGUGAAAUGCGUAGAUAUUAGGAAGAACACCAGUGGCGAAGGCGGACUCACUGGUCCGGUACUGACGCUGAGGUGCGAAAGCGUGGGGAGCAA